AAGAACUUUGAAAAGAGAGUNNAAAAGUGCGUGAAACCGCUGGAAGGGAAGCGAAUGGAGUCGGAAAUUCGCCUCGGCGCGUGCGUCUUUCUAGACGAAGCUUGCGCACGUGCGUCGCGCAACCGGUGCACUUCCGCUUGGCGAAAGUCAACGUCGGUUUGCGCGGAGCCAAAAAGCCGCGAGCACGGUAGGUCGCUCGCGAUCGGUAAGGCUUGCGAGCGUACGGCUUCACGUAGACCGAGUUAAGUCGCAGCACGUACCUGCAGGUUGAUGUCUUCGUAGCUGAGUAGGUUUAACCUCGCCGCGCGGACGGCUUUGCCUGUGCGUCGGCGAGCGGCCUGCCAAGCCACGGAGGAAGCAGACACGACGUGCUGAGCACGUUGGCUGCCCACCGGCUCCAUCCGACCCGUCUUGAAACACGGACCAAGGAGUCUAACAUGUGCGCAAGUCUCAGAGUGAUCGAAACUCGUUGGGCGUAAUGAAAGUGAACGUGGCUCCGGCUGCGGAGAUGAGAGGCUGCCGCAGCGGCAUCAUCGACCGACCUAUUCUACUCUUAGAAAGGUUUGAGUGAGAGCGUACCUGCUGGGACCCGAAAGAUGGUGAACUAUGCCUGAAUAGGGCGAAGCCAGCGGAAACACUGGUGGAAGCCCGAAGCGGUUCUGACGUGCAAAUCGAUCGUCGAAUUUGGGUAUAGCGGCGAAAGACUAAUCGAACCAUCUAGUAGCUGGUUCCCUCCGAAGUUNCUCACAGGAUAGCUGGAACUCCGUGGCAGUUU
rnacentral:rRNA from 1 species